GAGGGUAUAGCUCAGGGGUAGAAUGUGUGCCUAGCAUGCAUGAGGACCUGGGUUAAAUCCCCAGUAACUUCA
rnacentral:tRNA from 1 species